GGUGGAGGGAUACAGGUAAAACCGUUUGACAUAUCACUCACCACUUACAAACAUAAUGGAGAAGAAACGGUCGAAGCCAUUUGGUGCCCAAUUUAGGAAAAAAAAGAAGAGGAGGAGAAACGAGGAAAAGAUGCAGCAUCAGGAGCCCUACGCAGAUAUUUUGGGAUGACAUCAGCUGCCACUGAGGAACAGCCAUCUACCUCCACUGCUCAUACCAGUAGGCCAGUAUUUGAACUCGAGGAGGGACAGUCUGCUGGCACCACAUCUCCCCAGGAAGAUACUUAAGAGAGACCUACCAGUCAGUAUAUGUGAACUUGAUGAGGGACAGCCAGCUGCCACAUCUCCCCAACAAGAUACGCCAGAGAAACCGAUCAACCAAUGAGUCCCAUUGAAGGUGAUGAUGAGCCUCUUUCUUCAGACCCAGCCAAGUGGCCAUCACCAUUUACCGACAGCAUACGCACAGAGCUAGUUCGAAGAGGACCUACUAAGGUGCCAACUACUUUUGUAUUUCCCAGGAAUGAAGGCGAUGGAAGAUGUCGUCAUCAUCACUAUUUCAGUAGAACUUUGACAAGUGGUGAGAAGGUGGCCAGGAGCUGGAUGUUGUAUUCGGUUAGCAAACGUUGUCAUAUAUGAUACACUCCACGCAAUUUGAAACAAAGUUGUAGGUGUAA